UACGUAGGCAGCAAGCGUUGUUCGGAAUUACUGGGCGUAAAGAGUGUGUAGGCGGUGCUCUAAGUCUGUUGUGAAAUCUCCCGGCUUAACUGGGAGGGUGCGGCGGAGACUGGAGUGCUAGAGUGUGGGAGAGGUAAGCGGAAUUCCUGGUGUAGCGGUGAAAUGCGUAGAUAUCAGGAGGAACACCUGUGGUGUAGACACUUACUGGACCACGACUGACGCUGAGACACGAAAGCGUGGGUAGCAAACAGG
rnacentral:rRNA from 1 species